AGAAGAAGCACUGCAGGGAGCUGCCUGGCACUGGGGAUCCGGAGGACCAGACCCUCAGAGAGACUGCAUACCAAGAGUCCUCCAGCUUUCAGGCAUGUUCACCUACAGGCAAAAGAAACUGAAUGAUGCUGCUUAUGGGAACAUAUGCAGGAAACACAGCAGCCAAUUGGCACAUAGCAAGCUCCCACAUACAGCAACGGAAUAAUGACCAGAUUAGCGAUGUUCACCAGGACACCGGGAAGAAUUCUCCUGGAAACAGUAGCAGUACAAUGUUUUAUGCUCUCCUGAGUGGGAAAACUUGCCUGAAAGACAGUACCUCUGACAGUUUGGCACUCCCUCAAUACUGUACUGGGAGCAGCAGCCUGGAUUGCAUGGGUUGAGGGUAAAUUCAACACAAGACAAUCUCUCAUCCAAGUCUGAUGUUGCUGAAUUACUCUUGACUUAUCUCUUAAUUCUACUCUGUCCUUUCUGGCUCUUCUGGUUUCCUACACUUGGUUCCUCAACUAACAUGUCUGAAUUAAAACAGGCCAAUAAAGAGAGACUGAGAUGUG